GUGGUGGUAGUGAAGUGGUUAAGGAGCUGGACUAGCAUGCAGUAGUCUGAAAAGUUGCAGGUUCAAUUCCUGGCUUCCACA
rnacentral:tRNA from 1 species